rnacentral:rRNA from 1 species
AUUGAACGCUGGCGGCACGCUUAACACAUGCAAGUCGAGCGGUAACAUGAUCUGUAGCAAUACAGAUUGAUGACGAGCGGCGGACGGGUGAGUAACACGUAGGAACCUGCCCAAAAGCGGGGAUAACCAAGGGAAACUUUGGCUAAUACCGCGUAAUCUCGAGAGAGGAAAGCUGCCCGCAAGGGUGGUGCUUUUGGAGGGGCCUGCGCCCGAUUAGCUAGUUGGUGAGGUAAUAGCUCACCAAGGCGAUGAUCGGUAACUGGUCUGAGAGGACGACCAGUCACACUGGGACCGAGACACGGCCCAGACUCCUACGGGAGGCAGCAGUGGGGAAUCUUGGACAAUGGGGGCAACCCUGAUCCAGCGAUGCCGCGUGGGUGAAGAAGGCCUUCGGGUUGUAAAGCCCUUUAGGUCGGGAAGAAGUGUGUAGGCUGAAUAAUCCUAUACAUUGACGGUACCGACAGAAUAAGCACCGGCAAACUCUGUGCCAGCCGCCGCAGUAA